CCUACGGGAGGCAGCAGUGGGGAAUAUUGCACAAUGGGGGAAACCCUGAUGCAGCGACGCCGCGUGAGUGAAGAAGUAUUUCGGUAUGUAAAGCUCUAUCAGCAGGGAAGAAAAUGACGGUACCUGAUUAAGAAGCCCCGGCUAACUACGUGCCAGCAGCCGCGGUAAUACGUAGGGGGCAAGCGUUAUCCGGAUUUACUGGGUGUAAAGGGGGCGUAGACGGCAGCACAAGUCUGGAGUGAAAUGCCGGGGCUUAACCCCGGAACUGCUUUGGAAACUGUGCAGCUAGAGUGCAGGAGAGGUAAGUGGAAUGCCUAGUGUAGCGGUGAAAUGCGUAGAUAUUAGGAGGAACACCAGUGGCGAAGGCGGCUUACUGGACUGUAACUGACGUUGAGGCUCGAAAGCGUGGGGAGCAAACAGGAUUAGAUACCCCGGUAGUC
rnacentral:rRNA from 1 species